GGAAGAGCAUGAGCUAGAGAGAGAAAUGAAGAAGGAAAGAAAGAAGGAGAGGAAGAAGAAGAAGGGAUUCAAAAUCCCUAGGUGUAGGUGCACAAGAGGAGAAUCAACCUUGUGGUAUUGAUUUCUAUCAAGGAGGUAGAAAAUAUGGUUUCUCUUUGGCACGCAUGGUGAUGUGGGGAGUUGCGACGUCGGGGUGUGUAUGAUGUGGGGGUAUCC